rnacentral:rRNA from 1 species
CCUACGGGUGGCAGCAGUGGGGAAUAUUGCACAAUGGGGGAAACCCUGAUGCAGCGACGCCGCGUGAGUGAAGAAGUAUUUCGGUAUGUAAAGCUCUAUCAGCAGGGAAGAAAAUGACGGUACCUGAGUAAGAAGCCCCGGCUAACUACGUGCCAGCAGCCGCGGUAAUACGUAGGGGGCAAGCGUUAUCCGGAUUGACUGGGUGUAAAGGGAGCGUAGACGGCAGUGCAAGUCUGGAGUGAAAGGCGGGGGCUUAACCCCCGAACUGCUUUGGAAACUGUGCGGCUGGAGUGCAGGAGAGGUAAGUGGAAUUCCUGGUGUAGCGGUGAAAUGCGUAGAUAUUAGGAGGAACACCAGUGGCGAAGGCGGCUUACUGGACUGUAACUGACGUUGAGGCUCGAAAGCGUGGGGAGCAAACAGGAUUAGAUACCCGGGUAGUC